rnacentral:ncRNA from 17 species
GGCCGCGCCGGCGAUGGGGUUCGCCGUGAACCGCCCGCGGGGCUGAUGACUCCUGUUUCGAU